AUAACUAACUACUUCCUUUGUUCUUCCUUUUAUAUCAAAAUGGAAAAGAAGACACAAAUUCACGACACGCUGACGCCGUCAAACAAAAUUUCACUCUCAUUCUGAGUGCGUUUGAGGAAACACCUCUGCUCUGCGCUUCUCUUCUCUGCUCAGUUUAUUCAAUUUUCUCUCUCCAACAUGCGUAGCUUACUUUCACUCCCCAAAAUAUAAAGAUGCUCUAUUCUCGCACCAGCCUCUGAAACUAGGGUUUCUGCUAUUUGACACGUGCCGAAAUUUAUGGCGACUCUGAAUUCGCAGCCGCUGCAGUUCGAGGACCCAGCGAUAGCCGUCAACGACGACGACGACGGUGGUGUUGCUGAUGUUAUGGACGAGCUGGAGGAUGUUAAUGUUAAUUCAGUGAACGUUGCGAGUGCAAAGCACGAUGCAGUUGCUAUGCCUUCGCGAACUAGCGAACUCACUCUCUCUUUCGAGGGUGAGGUUUAUGUAUUUCCCGCUGUCACGCCUCAGAAGGUGCAAGCUGUCCUGCUGCUUUUGGGAGGACGAGAUGUGCAGGCAGACAUGCCUACAGUUGAACUCCCGUUUGAUCAAAGUAACAGGGGCAUGGGUGAUACUCCAAAGCGUUCAAACCUUUCACGAAGAAUAGCAUCCUUGGUUAGGUUCCGUGAGAAACGCAAAGAAAGAUGUUUCGACAAGAAAAUUAGGUAUUCUGUGAGGAAAGAGGUGGCACAGAGGAUGCAUCGGAAGAAUGGGCAGUUUGCAUCCUUGAAGGAAAGCUCAGGUUCUUCUAAUUGGGAUUCUGCACAGAGUUCUGGUCAUGAUGGAACUCCUCAUUCUGAAUCUCUACGUAGAUGUCAACAUUGUGGUGUCAAUGAAAACAAUACUCCUGCAAUGCGUCGUGGGCCAGCUGGACCAAGGACUUUAUGCAAUGCAUGUGGCCUUAUGUGGGCUAACAAGGGCACACUCAGAGAUCUCAGUAAGGGAGGAAGAAAUCUUUCUGUUGAGCAAAGUGAUCUGGACACUCCUGUUGAUGUCAAGCCAACUGUUCCUGAAGAGGAAUUGCCCAGCAUCCAUGAUGAGGUAUUUCUGAAGAUCCUUCCAAGGCCAUUGCUGCUGACGGUUCUAGUAAUCAUGCUGUAAACCCCAGUGAAGAGGUAGUUUUAAAUUUCUCUGUCUAUAUAUAUUCUUUCACAUCCAUUUUGGAGUAUUCAGACAUCUUUUCUUAGGUAUUGAAUUGAGAAAAUCAAAGCUUCUCAUGAAUUGUUGUGAAUUGUGAUACUUGUAAUGGGUAUUGUGAUAAUUCUCUUGUUCAGGAAUUGCCUGAAACUGCAGAACAUUUUACUAACACAAUGCCACUGGGAAUUGGUCAUUCUUCAGCAAACGAUGAUGAGCAGGAACCUCUGGUCGAGCUUUCUAAUCCUUCAUAUACAGAUAUUGACCUUCCUGGAAACUUUGAUUAGAAGGUACUCAGUGAUUCAUUACGUUAGGGGUUUUUAUAUAAAUGGUCCCCCUGUAGCAUAUUGUCCGUGUACUAAUGAGAUGCAGAUAUAGAAGCAGUGAUACAUACCAUGAGACAAUUAGGAAAGUCUGGGUUAUGACUAAAUGUAGCCCCCAGAAAAUGGAAGUGAUUACUGAUUAGCAAUUGUCAAGAAGCUCUGCUGUUCCAGCCUAACAUUAAGUGGUCUGCAAUAUUGAUGCUGGUAUAGGUGCCAAAAUGCUGUUUGUGUAUACAUUAUUAGAUGAUCUUCCUUCAGUGUUUAUAUCAUGAGAUAUUCAUUAGUUAGGGUCCUUGUUAAUAAAAAUGCUGUCUCCUUGUCCCUGACUACAAUUAAUUCGUUGAGAUCAAAGCGCUUCUACCCUGAUUUUGGAGAUAAAAAACUUUGGUGAUGCUGUGCCACUCAAGGAUGGACUGCUAAUUUGAAUAUCAAGGUAGCGGUGUGCUAAUACCGACCUUUGAUGGCUUGUGCUGCUGGGCUCUUUGUGAGAACAUUUGGAUACAUUCAAUUCGUGCAAACAUACUUGUUCCAAAUGUACAUAUACAUAUAAAUAAAUGUCAUUUUGUGUUAUCGUCUUCUGUGUUCUUCCAUACAUAUGUAUCUUUGCUGUUGCGAUGCCUGGAAAAGAAU